rnacentral:lncRNA from 1 species
CACCCGUGUAGAAUGAGCUGGACUUGGGGAGAUAGCAGAUGCAAGUCCACAGGAAGGAGGGUCCUGGGUGUGGUGGAGUCUCAUCGGGCUUCUUGGCUGGCUGGCGGAGGACAAGCUGCAGGAUGCUCCGGUGAGCUGCUGCACAGGAAGGAGUCAGACCCUCUAUUUAAGACAACAAAGACUUCCGGUCUCACCUGAACUGCAAUCUGAAGUGUUCAUCGCUCUACCACUGCUCCAGUCUGUCUCCAGAUUGCUUACCUAACACACUCCAGAACUGAUUACGCAUGCUACGUUCUUCUGCACGUGUGUUAUAUAUAUCAUUGUUUCUUCUACAUGAUUGCAAUCCCCUGUCUGAAACCAUGCCAAGUGCAGAAGCAAUGCCUGGAAAAUCUUUUUGAAAUGGAUGAACGGCAGCUCCUGAUUUCAAAUCACUCGCUAGCUGCCAGACAUUGGAAGUAUA